rnacentral:rRNA from 1 species
GACGUCAAAUCAUCAUGCCCCUUACGUCCUGGGCCACACACGUACUACAAUGGCGGCCAACAAAGAGAGGCAAAGCCGCGAGGUGGAGCAAAUCUCAAAAAGCCGUCCCAGUUCGGAUCGCAGGCUGCAACCCGCCUGCGUGAAGUUGGAAUCGCUAGUAAUCGCGGAUCAGCAUGCCGCGGUGAAUACGUUCCCGGGCCUUGUACACACCGCCCGUCACACCAUGAGAGUCGGGAACACCCGAAGUCCGUAGCCUAACCGCAAGGGGGGCGCGGCCGAAGGUGGGUUCGAUAAUUGGGGUGAAGUCGUAACAAGG